AUUGAACGCUGGCGGCAGGCCUAACACAUGCAAGUCGAGCGGAUGAAGGGAGCUUGCUCCUGGAUUCAGCGGCGGACGGGUGAGUAAUGCCUAGGAAUCUGCCUGGUAGUGGGGGAUAACGUCCGGAAACGGGCGCUAAUACCGCAUACGUCCUGAGGGAGAAAGUGGGGGAUCUUCGGACCUCACGCUAUCAGAUGAGCCUAGGUCGGAUUAGCUAGUUGGUGGGGUAAAGGCCUACCAAGGCGACGAUCCGUAACUGGUCUGAGAGGAUGAUCAGUCACACUGGAAGUGAGACACGGUCCAGACUCCUACGGGAGGCAGCAGUGGGGAAUAUUGGACAAUGGGCGAAAGCCUGAUCCAGCCAUGCCGCGUGUGUGAAGAAGGUCUUCGGAUUGGAAAGCACUUUAAGUUGGGAGGAAGGGCAGUAAGUUAAUACCUUGCUGUUUUGACGUUACCAACAGAAUAAGCACCGGCUAACUUCGUG
rnacentral:rRNA from 1 species